GGACAGAACCGAAGAGGGUGGAGGGAAAAGUUUCCUUCCUCCCCUGCAAGGUCAACUUGAACUCCCAGUAGGGGGCAGAUUUUGUAGUCUUGAAUACCCCUGAGACCAGAUCUUGAAAAGAGCCGAGGAGAAUGCCGACACAUGAUUACGACCCGAUCUGAGUUUUGUUAGAUGCCCCGAGGGCGUCAUCGGAUCUUCCAAUCAGUGACAGGGUGAAACUCUGUGUUAGGGACCGAACGGCGUCCCCUCAACUGUGUCACAUGUUGGAGCCCUGGCCUGGGGGCCCCGGAAGGAGGAAAAGCCCCCCUGCCGACACCGUGGUCUGGGCUUCCAGCCCGUGGACCGUGAGGAUGUCAGGCCGGGCGGUUCCAGGCCUGGCGUGCGGCGCUCCAUCAGGGUCGUGGUCCCCAGGGCCCUGAGCAGCUGCAAACGAAGGCUCCAGGAUGUCACGUGGUCUCUGCUCUCUCCUGCGUCCUGUCCACAGCCCUGGGCCGUAAGUGAACAGGAUCUGAGUUACCCACCGCGCAGUCCUCACCCACCGUCUUAGGGUUCUGGCGGCUCCGCCCAUGACACCCACACCUGUUACCUCAGCUCAGGUCAUGAUCUCCGGUUGGUGGGUUCGAGCCCCACGUCGGGCUCUGUGCUGACACCUUGGGGCCAGGAGCCUGUUUCGGAUUCUGUGUCUCCCUCUCUCUCUGUCCUCCCCCCCCUCAAAAAUAAAAUAAACAUUAAAAAAUGUUUAGGUUCUGGAGGCCAGACAUUUGAAACCCACGUGUGGCGAGGUGGGCCC
rnacentral:lncRNA from 1 species